rnacentral:rRNA from 1 species
UUCCGGUUGAUCCUGCCGGAGGCCAUUGCUAUUGGGAUCCGAUUUAGCCAUGCUAGUUGUACGAGUUCAGACUCGUAGCGAAUAGCUCAGUAACACGUGGCCAAACUACCCUUCGGACCACAAUACCCUCGGGAAACUGAGGCUAAUAGUGGAUCACACACUCACACUGGAAUGUCGAGUGUGUCAAACGCUCCGGCGCCGAAGGAUGUGGCUGCGGCCGAUUAGGUAGACGGUGGGGUAACGGCCCACCGUGCCAAUAAUCGGUACGGGUCAUGAGAGUGAGAACCCGGAGACGGAAUCUGAGACAAGAUUCCGGGCCCUACGGGGCGCAGCAGGCGCGAAACCUUUACACUGCACGCCAGUGCGAUAAGGGGAUCCCAAGUGCGUAGGCAUAGAGCCUACGCUUUUGUCCACCCUAGGGAGGUGGACGAAUAAGGGCUGGGCAAGACCGGUGCCAGCCGCCGCGGUAAUACCGGCAGCCCGAGUGAUGGCCGAUCUUAUUGGGCCUAAAGCGUCCGUAGCUGGCCGCGCAAGUCCAUCGGGAAAUCCACCCGCUCAACGGGUGGCCGUCCGGUGGAAACUGCACGGCUUGGGACCGGAAGGCGCGACGGGUACGUCCGGGGUAGGAGUGAAAUCCCGUAAUCCUGGACGGACCGCCGAUGGCGAAAGCACGUCGCGAGAACGGAUCCGACAGUGAGGGACGAAAGCCAGGGUCUCGAACCGGAUUAGAUACCCGGGUAGUC